UCGCCGACAGGGUCACUCCGUUAGAAGCGCACGCCGCGUGUGAGACAUAAGAGCUGCAUCGGCAGUCUGGGUGCAGUGAUUGAUCGAGUUUCACGCCCAAGCCGGUGCCGCGGUUUUCGCGGCGUCAACAAUUUGGGUGCUACGAUCAAUCGCAGCCCAAAAUGCUGGUGCAUCGUUGAUCGCACGCACCACGAACCUUGCCACGGCUUUGCAUCGUCGGCAAUUUGAGUGCCGUGCAACGAUAAAAUAAGCCAGCAACAGGUGGUGCGCGUAUGGUAAACAUUAUUGUUAAGUAAGCAAAAAUUUAGUAUUUAAGAACGUUAAUUUUAACCAAUAAAGGCAGUAUGUCUAAAAGUACCCCGGUGUGGAGGCUUCAGUUAUUAGUGCUUGAGUCGGCGUGAACUGCGCCUGUCUCGAGAAGGUUUAUCCGAAAACUCGCAUAAACUACAUGGUGGCUCCAGAGAGGAAACUUCCUCACGCCUGAAACUCUCCCGCGGUGGUAUCUUAAGAAAGACAAACUCCCUCGGGACGCGUCGACGACCAAGUUUCGCGCGCGUCAAACCGUGGUAACGGCCGUCAUAGGCAACAUAAAGCCGACGAGCCACGAAAGGCGGCUCUUGUGCGAUUAGUGCAACACCGGUUACAGGUGAACAGUGAAGUUCGUCAAGUGCUAUUGACGCUUAAAAGUCACAUAGGUUCGUGACACGCGAGAAACUGUUCACUGAGAGGUGCCAGGAGCAAGAAGUGCCGAAAAAAGUAAGUUGGGGUAUCAACCCAACGACAUCAUAGUGAGAAGAAUAGGUCAGCGGUGAGCGGACGGCUCAACCUGCAGCGACCUCAUAGUGAGAAGUGUGAGUCAGCGGUGAGCGGACGGCUCAACCCACGACGACCUCAAAAGUGCAAGACAGCGGUGAGCGGACGGCUCAAUCAGUGACGAUCUUGUGAAAAGUGCCAGGCAACCCUGAGCGGACGACUCGACCCGCAACGUUCCAGAAGUGCGCAGUAUUAACGACGGUGAGCGGACGGCUCACGUUGAGGUGCUUUGAAGCGGAGGACGCCAAUCCUGAGCGGACGGCUCAACCCGCAGCGUUCCAGAAGUGAGCAGUGUUAACGACGGUGAGCGAACGGCUCACGGUGAGGUGCUUUGAAGCGGGGGACGCCAAUCCUGAGCGGACGGCUCAACCCGCAGCGUUCCAGAAGUGCGCAGUGUUUACGACGGUGAGCGGACGGCUCACGGUGAGGUGCCUUGAAGCGGAGGACGCCAGCCAAUUGAGCGGACGGCUCAAUCUACUCCCUGUAACGACGCACCGUUCGGAUCUCACAGAACAAGCUAUCCAGAGUAAGUAAAAUGGAUUACAAAUAUAAGAAAAACCCAAACGGGCACUGUAAGCUGUGUGUCAAAGAAGAUGAACAGGGAAAAAUGGCAGAAUGCAAGGAGUGUGACAGAUGGUUCCACUCAGCAUGUCUUAAUUUAAAAACGGUUCCUAGCAAGUUCACAUGUCCAAAAUGUGAACAAAUGAAGUUAGAAAAGGAACAAGCUAGGCAAACUAUAAUGCAAACUGAACGCCUAUUAUCAGAAAAGAUAGCAGCAGAAGAAAAAGAGAAGAAAGAAAAAGCAAAAUACGAAAAGGAAAUUGAACGGCUAGAAGAAAUCAUUAGGGCAGAGGAAAUCUUAAAUCAAUCAGGGACAAGCCAACACGACGUUCACGAGCUGACUAAGAAUGUCGAUAAAUUGGUAGAUGCGUGGAGCCUCGGCCCAAGCUGUCGCAAGAAUGCGUUACUGGAACUCCCAGAGUUCUACGGAAGCAGUAAAACCUGGCCAAGAUUCAAACUGCUUUUUAAAGAAACCUCGAAGACGGGAAAAUUGACAAACUUGCACAAUCUAAGCCGACUUCAAAAACACUU